GGUUUAGAUAUAGAUAAGUUCUCAAUUAGAUAUCGUUUGUAUGUGGUAUAAUUGACAGAAGCUGCACGAUUCGGAUGACCAAUGUCACUUUGACGUUAGAAUAUCUUUGAAAGAUCUUAGUCAGUGUUGCCAGAUGGGUUUUGCGUUCCGUUACGUGCACCUCUUAAAAAUAGUACGCAAAUUCAAGUUGAGUACGCAGUAUAAAAUUUACGGUGCGUUCCUAAAUAAUAUUAAUCGGAAAACCACCGAAUUUUAUCGCUACUAUAAAAAUGUUGAAAAUAGAACUUCACAUAUUUCGAUAAAAUAUUUCUUGUUUAAGGAGACUCAAUUCAAUGCAAAUUUGCCAACGGUGGCGUUUCGAAAUGUAAUACCGUCGCGGCGUCUGUCAUACUUCGGUCUACUUAAACACGCUGCACGCUGCUGCGACGCGUCAGGGCCUACCGCGAACCACGUUCGACGUGUUGCCUCUCUGUCGCACUUAUAAAUUCGUACGUAAGUAUGACAGGGAGGCAACACGUCGAACGUGGUUCGCGGUAGGCCCUCUGUUCUGUGAUUGUUAGGCAAACACAAACAUUUUUUUUUACAACGGACGCCCACGAGUAUUCCUCUGCGUUGAAGUCAUUGUUGAAGUUUGAAAACUCAUAAAGUUUUGUUUUGUGAGUGAAACCGUGAAUAAUACUAAAUAAAAAUGUGUGACAGUGAUCACAGUGAUGAAAAUAUGUUGCCCACUACUCCUCAGGAAAUAUUAAAGCCUUUUCCGUUUAUGUUGUUCCGUUGUUUGCUAUUUUGACAACUUGAAAAGUUUUAUCGGCAGUUUGCGUGUUAUUACUGUGAAGUGUUUGGCCAAACCGCCGCUACCACUUUUGAAAGGAUGCCACCCAAAAAUCCAAAAAUGUAAGUUACACAAAACAAAAAGAAUUUAUUUGCAGAAAAAUAUAGCUAUUUGCCAGUUCCUUUGAUCGUUAACUUAUGUGACUGUUUUUUUUCAGUCGCUCGAACGCAGCACAAAUUAGAUUGCUCGUUGAAUACAUGUCACAGCACACCCGGUUCGCCAACCGGGAAUUUGACGGGCCUCUAAGGACCCCAGAGGUACGAGGCGCAAUGGGAGGCCCUUGCACAGGCCUUAAGGGAGCACGGGCCCAAUAAGUCAGUGCAGGCAUGGAAAGUGGUGGGCACCUGCUCCCCGCUGGCGACACCCUUGCAGAAGCUAGCAUUUUCAGAUAUAUUUACUUUUUAAGUUUUUGGUUUGGUUUAACCGGAAUUAUUUUUACCCGACUAUGAGAAUGGGAAGGGUUAUGAUUUUAGCAGUCUACGUAUGGAUGCCGUAUAUAUGCCGGAUAUCCUGAACGAACUGAAAAUUUUUAAUGAGGCGCAGAAACAAAAAUGGAGUGUUUUGAAGGAGGGGCACGACUUGUUGGCGAAUCGUAUUAACACAUUGGAGGACACCGAGAUUAUUGAGAACUUGGAAGACACAGUUAUAAUGGAAGAGGAAGACGUCUGAGCUAAGCGCUGUCCUCGCACCCUCCGUCUAGUUUACGUUUGCGGCCAUAUCAAAAAUACACACCGUAUGUUUAUUAGGGUUCCGUACCAAAAAGGUACAAAAGGAACCCUUAUGGUGCUAUUGCUAAAUAUCUCGAGAAGUACUUAAGCUAUCGAUGUGAAAUUUGGAAUAGUAAUGAAUAACGCUGACCCAAACAUAUUGGAUGUGUAUUUAUUUUAUUUUAUUUGUAAGUAUUAAUAAUGGAAAAUUCCCAAUAUGAAGAGGGGGUAAAAUUGCAAAGUCUAGUUAAAUAGGUCAAGUGGGGUAUCAUUUGAAAGAGCUCAAAUUGAAAAUUACAAAACAAUUUUUUAUUUUCAUUGUGAAAAAAAAAUUUACGUAUGAAGGAAAAUGUGAUAAUAAUACCAUCCCCCCCCCCCCUCUCAUCUCCGAAGUUUAAGAAUAAAAAUUGUUUUUUUUACAUUGGUCAAGUCUUUCAUGAGAAAAUUUGAAGUUUGUACGGAACCCUCGGUGUGCGAGGUAAACGAACUCGCACUUGACCGGUUAUUCUUAUUGCCCAUAAGGCCCGUCCUUAGAUAUAUGUCAAUGAUUACGGUGAUCUCGAAAAUGGCUCAAAUGAUUUCAAUUAAAUUUGCUAUAUGGGGGUUUUCGGGGCGUUUUUGAGUUUUUACCUAUUUGUUUUCCGAGCAAAAGGAAUUAAAGUUUACUGAUUUUGAAAA